GACAGAGGAUGCAAGCGUUAUCCGGAAUGAUUGGGCGUAAAGCGUCUGUAGGUGGCUUUUUAAGUCCGCCGUCAAAUCCCAGGGCUCAACCCUGGACAGGCGGUGGAAACUACCAAGCUGGAGUACGGUAGGGGCAGAGGGAAUUUCCGGUGGAGCGGUGAAAUGCGCAGAUAUCAGGAGGAACACCGGUGGCGAAGGCGGGUCUCUGGGCCGUAACUGACGCUGAGGAGCGAAAGCGUGGGGAGCGAACAGG
rnacentral:rRNA from 1 species